GGGAGUUUUCGCAAGGCCUUCCGCUCACCCAAAAAGCAUUUUGAUGCGAAGGCUGUCAAGCCAGGGCAGCGAGCUCUCCGGGCAGUGAGUUUCUUAUACAGAUGGGAAUAAGAAAAAAUCGCUAAUGGGUACCUUCGUUUCCGUCGAACCUUGCUUACUUUCUUUCAACAAGAUCUUACUGGGGGUAAAAGAAAGACAUUAUUUCGUUACCAUAAUCAUCCUGAACUCUUGCCCGCAGAACCAGGACAACCUAUGUACAAGAAUUCGCUGUAUUCAUCCUUCGUCCAUAUUUUCACCAUAGGAAAGUGUGUGUGAUUUCUCUGUGAUUAUAUUUCUCGUUUUUGCGGUCAGCUUUGCAUACGCGACAGCAUUGAAAAGGAAAGCGCUGGGCAAGACAUCAAAUCAUCUCAUUGCUGAAUUGAGGAGUCUAUGGAAAGAUUGUAAGUACCCAACGUGAAUUCGUUACCAAAGAUAUACUUCCUUAAGCUAAAUGGGGCCUACACGGAAUGAAUAGGAAAGCAAUGGCCAAUUUAGGAAACAAGGAAGGAAUGCCUUGUGUUGACGAGAACUCCGUUGGCGCAAAUGAUAAGGUACUUGGUUCCCUCAAGAGCAUUACGUCGUGAGUAGGAUUUUUCGAGAUUGUUUCCUUUGGCCAUCCACAAGAGUCCCAAAACCAUGCAAUGCUAUGAUUACCGAUGUGGUGGAGAUAGGUAGUUUGCCAUAUAUUGGGAUAGAUUUCAUCAAUUCAUGGUCACUAAAUUUAGAAGAUACGCACAAUUUGAUUGGCAAACUUUGAUUUCGAUCGUCACAUGUGCUGAAAUUUAAGUCUUUUUCUUUUGCAAUUCAUGCACUUUGAUUGGAAACUAGCCAAUUCUUGAUCCAAACACUGACACGGCGGAUGUGCGGUGCCGGCGUGGUGUCCACCUUCGGCAUCAUGUUAGCACAAAGAAAAAAGAUUAAGAACGUGUUUUUCUUUUUUUCUUUUUUUUUUUAAGGGGGGGAAGGGAAAAGAAGAAGCGAAGAGAGUUACCAUCAGCCCUCUGCCUACAUUUCCCGGAAUUUGCAGAGGGCGCCAUGACCCUCUGUCAUUGCAAGCAGAGGAUUGCGCAACCCCUUGCCGCUGUCCUUGAGGGGUUUACCAUGUCUGGACCAGUUUCCUAUGUUCUUGGUCGGGUCUUGCCGGGUCGAGCCCGUAGUUUAUUGUUUAGUUUUGAGCUGUUUACUAUUUUGUUCCUGCUGAAUUUAUUCGAGGGUUCUAGUUGCACUAAAAAGAUAUAUAUAUAUAUAUAUAUAUAUAUAUAUUUUUUUUUUUUUUUUGAAAAUUAAUAAAAUGGAGCAACAAAGACCUCUUGCUGCAGCCUCAUUGAUCCACAACUGGAAUAAGAAGCAUGUUGUCCAUUGGAUCCGCGGCGAGUCUUCAAGAACACUUCCUCUUACAGUAGCAAUAAUUUAUCAAUCUGGGCUACAGAUGAUAUAAACUUAACGAAAUCUGCUCAUUUCUAGCCAAUAGGCCAAAAUUAUAUAGACCAGAUGAUAAAAAAAUUCAUGGAAUUCGUAACUGAGAUUUUACAUUUUAGAAGGGUGACACACGUAAAGCUUUGGGAAACUACGUUGCACUUUAGCACUGCGUCUAGACCUCAGGAAGAUGGUCAAUUAGAAAGCAUGAUUCGAACAUUCUAAAGUGAUGUUAAAGAGCAUAAGCGAUUGGCACGGCUAGACACAGGCCGAUAUAAUUUUCAAUUUUAAGCUAAAAAGGCAUCUAUUCUAAUUGAACUCGUUAAUUGUCGCAAAAAAAUCGUCUGACACAUUUAAUUUAAAAUGUUGCCCUCAACAGAACUAAUCUAAAUCUUAUUAAAAUAAACUGCAUCGCCCCCUUUCAUGUAUCUUAACUAUUAAAAGAAAAUUAACCCAAAUUACCUAUUGUGGAAGUAUCACAAUACAUAAUUUAUUAAAUAAAACAUGGUUUAAAAUUUUUAUUAAAAAAGCAUAUCUUUUUUUUUUUCUUUCUGUAUCUCAAUGAAUUUCACAAUACAACAAAAAAGUUAAUUGAACGAGUGGUACUUUACAGUUAAAUUCCUUUUGCUUAUAUGAUCAAAUUAAAUCCUAGUAAAACACUACAAACGGCGUUCCUUUUCCUUGCGUUUUAUGCUCUAAUUAACUUCAUUUUCGCUCCAAAAAAAAUUAACUUCAUUUUCAGCCGAUAUAAUUGUGAAGCAUGUUACUAUUAUUAAGACAAUCUUAUGCAUCAGAUUACCUCUGGGGCCAAUAUUAUUUCGUAUGUUGGAUGCAUAAAAUCAUGAAAGUACGAUUUAUAUUUAUUGUUGUAACAAGAAAAUGCAGUCAUCUAUUAUUUGCCUGAAUAACAUGAGAAGGACCCCUUUUUCAGCUAGCAAUUUACUUUGACCUGACAAUUUUGGCUUGCACUUUAUUUUAUUCCUCAUCGCGUUGAAAAUUGUCAUCUUUAGACGGUACUACAAAGCUACAAAACGACGUUUCCUCACAAGUUUACUGAUAAGGACACAGUAGGCAUAUAUAUCACAUCCAAAAAUUCAAUGUUGAGAUCGAAGUCUGGGUGCCUUGUCGAGGACAUCAGUACAGAUGUCUUUUUGGGAAGUUACCUAGAGAAAAUGGAAAAGGCAAAGGCAAAGGCGGAGGGAAAGAAAAAGCAGGAGGGAAAGGGUAAGACAACGAGGGGACGAUUGCAUAGAAGAGGGUGAGGGAGAGAUUUUGGAUCCUUCUGUCGACCUAAGACCCGCAUUUGAGGAAUCGGGUGGAUUCACAUUUGAAUGACCCUCUUGAAACAUCCCUGGGGAACCUUCAGCAUAAUUCUUGUAACGCUCCUCCCUCAUGAAAGCAACAAGCUGUGAAUUGUGAGAAUCGCCCAUCAUUUGCCUCUCCAGGAUCUCCGCACACUCCCUCCACCAUUGCAUAUAGCUGCUUUUCUCCAAAAAUUUGCCAGGGGAAACCUUGUACUUCUCGAUCAGACCCAGAACACAUUUCUCAAACUCCACCAGUUUCACUAUUUUGGAACCGUUUGAUGAUCCUCCGCUUUCCAGCAAUCUGCACGACCGGAUGGCCUACUCCACGUGUGUCCAAAAGCACAAAUCCUCCGUCACGCUCGACUUGACAUUGUUCAAUAUCAAAUUCGAAAGGCCAGCCUUCUCCUGGUAUUUUUUUCUUUUCAGAUGAUCGUCCAGCCAUUCUUCUACCAGCCUGUAGUCUUUGGAUCUUCCUCGAUUUAUGUAAUCCUUUCGGUCCCUUCUGUAAUAUUCUGCUAUGUCCAGUGGUUCCACUAUCCUGCAGUAAUUUGUCCCUCCAAAGAGCCACGGUACCGCAGUGACGUGCCCAUAUUUGAGGCUUCUUCUCCGCUUCUUUGACCACACCCUCCCAGUAAUCCGAGAGGAUUGUCUUGUACUUAUCAAUUCCAUUGUCGUGCCUUUCUCGUGCAUUUUUUAAGCUGUCACAGAAACCAGGACCCCUGCCGUUGGCUUUGCAUACCUUCAUGUACCACUCCAAGAAAGGUACACUUUCAUUUGGUCCAAUUGCUUGGCAGGAUCAAAUGCCUCUCUUUAUUGUCUUAAGACGUCUCUUUCACGCUUUACUAUUUCAUCUAUCAGAGCAUCACUGCCCUCAUUCAGCUGCUGUCAUUGCAAUGAGAGUCCACUCAAUCAAAAUUUAUAAACAUUCUUAAAAAUUUAGAAGCUUCCAACUUCAACAAGUUUUCCUUUUAUCCUGCUAAAAUUCUGAAUUAGUCUAUCCGCGUUUUAAUUAGGUUAAAACAUGGUCAAUGGCAAAAGUGAGAUAUAUUUGUGGUUCCUAGCAGCACAAAUAUCUGCUAAAAAGCAAACUUCCCCUUGAUGGAAUGUAACCAUGGGAAGAAGGUCAAGUUCAGAUACCUGUAUUGGCUUGAGGCCAACCGCUAUGACUUCAGUAGUAACCCCAGCUUUAUACGAAUCUGCUUCUUGCCCAUUCAACCAUGAACAAUCAUUGUGAAUUAAUCUUUGCUCUAGCCAUCCAAUGACAGUCUUAUAAUCAACACUUCGGCUCUCUGUUUCCAACAGCAAUUUCCGACAUAAGCAGCUCCAUGAUGGACUCGGGCUUCAAAACAGGUACCACCUGAUUCAGAACCCAAAAGGAAGGUACCAAAAGGUUUUUAUUGACUUGAGUUAGUGGUGGAAGAGUGAAGGAAUGGUCUAGGAAAACAAUCAUCCAUAUGAGCUACACGCAAGAAGCACAAAUUCCAUGUUAAAUAUUGCGAUACAGCUAGUCGGAAGGCAUUGUCCCUGAGGAGUGGCGAAUUGCAAUUGAUACAGAGAGGGAGUGUUCCCUUUGUUGUGUCGAGUGUGUUUAAAGCCAUAACAUGAAAAGGGAGGCGAUGAAUCCACCCGGUCAGUGUCCUGUAAUAAUAUAGGGAACUGAGUCCUUGGACUUGGCUGAAGCUACUACCUGCGUUGAAGCAAAAUAAGCAUCAAUUCAUAUUCUCAACUUAUAGGUGCCAAAUACAGUCUUUCAAAUGAGAUAAAUAUGCACAGUUAAUAAAUCAAAUGAAACUCUGCCCAAUCAUAUGAUUCAGUUCAAUGAAAGAUUCAAUUUAUAGGGAUUUUCGCAACUAUGCUCAAAACAAUGAGAAAAAUCAUUUCCAUAGCAGAACAGUGCUUCACUUCUCAUCUAAUAGGCUUAAUGAUAGGUGGUGAACAACUCGAAACUCCUCAAUUGUAGCAAUUAUUAGCAUGUCUACUUCAGCAACGAUUUCUGUAAGCAGCAAUUCCUAGAUACAUGCGUACUUAUGAUCUCACAACCGAUAAUAGUAAUAACUAGAAUGGAUAACUUGAGAGAAUAUAUAGAAUUGCUACCUUUUCUUUGAGUCGAGAGAGCUCGUUUCGAAGAGAGUUAAACAGAGAUCGCAGCUUUGUUUAUAUGAAAAGUUGGAUUGGUUUUGGAGCAUAGGAACUGAAAGUUGGGGAUCUUCAGUGAAGGAACCAAAUCUCUUUCCUCUUCAAGACUGCCUGUAGUAACCAGUGAGGUGACAAAGGCAAUGAUAUUGUAGUUCAGGCAGUGAAAUUCAUUGAUUAUUACAGGGUUAUCCCCAUCUGAUCGGAAAGUCGCAGAUUUAAGUCAUGGAAACACCCUCUUUACACGAUGCAAGAGGAAGUGUUGGUUGAUUUGCCGCUCAAGUUCGAUAUGGCAGUCCAUGAAUCCUGAAGAAGAUUUGAUGACACGGCCAAGUUGCCAAAUACAGUCCAUCGCUGACUCUGCAGAUCAAGAAAACAACAUACUACUCUUCAAGAACGUGGAUUAUCAGUAAAGUCGAUGCAAAAUGCAUUCUCUCCACCGAUUGCCGAACCUGGAUUUCUGUUUCAGAAAUAAAAGGCAAAGGAAAGAAAAUUUCUUUACGCACAGAGAAUCAAUAUCUCGGUCCAUUCUCAGAGCUUCGUUGGAUCUGCGCAGACACAGCUAUUUAACAUCGUGCCUCCAUUUUUAACCUGAUUCCAGAAACAAAAAAUGCAAGUGCCAGCUUGCUUAAUAAAUCUUCCAAAUCACCCAGCCGGUAUGAGUGAGAUAUGGAUUUGAUGAAAACUUACGGAAAAAAUUAACUUGUGUUGAAAUGAAAUAACUCAUAUGUCAUUUGAUAUGUACUUUUACCUUGAGUUUGGGUUAUGGAGUUUUGGUAUUAGUGUAUACAAACAUAGUGAUUGUUUAGAAGAGAUAUACUACUUACUGAACUGUGAUUACUCAUCUCACUCGUUUUUCAUGUUUUUCAAGCUCCUCAACUAGUGGCCAAUAGUACGAGAGAGCACUAUUGACAAGAUUUUCGGGAGUAUGAUUUAGGUAUGAGCUUAGCUAGUUUUUUUUUUUUUUUUUUUUUGGUAGAUAGUUGUUGGGUUGGCUGAAUUCUAAAUUGAACAUAUUCUUUGUGAUGAUGAUAGAAAUUUUGAUAUUGUAACCAACUUGUUAUUUUAUUCAAUAUAUAUGGAUGGAGAUAUAUGUUAUUGUUAAUAGGUUAUUGGUUAUGUUUGAGACAACGUCCUUCAUACGAGAGGACGGCCGUGUCAUUCUCUUUCUUGUUGGUUUCAGGAUGUGAUAUAUAUGAUACGGUGCUCGACUCUAUCAAGACUCAAGAGUGAAACAUCCUAAAUUGGAUCUUUCGUAAUUAUUGCCUAUGGCAUCCCCAAGAGUCAUGAACUUGCAUUGGAUGUUAUAAUUAUUUGUCAUCGUUUUGUGGUCGGUAAGAGGGUAUGCACAAUCCGGUCGGUGAACUUCAGAUUUUAAUCAUCGAACGCGCUCAAAUUUCAGCUGCCGACGUAGUGUCUAACUUGGGGCAGCGUAAGCCCCAAGAAAAAAAGUAUAUUGAUACUGUAAAAAUAAAGAUCAAAAAGAAACAAAAUAUGGGUAGAGACCCAUUAACUCUGCUCAGUUGACGACAUUAGCUAGGGUUUACAGAGCGUCGUUACUCUCUUCCAGUACCAGUAACUAUAAAUGCGCAGAUAGGUGGUCGAUAGUUCGAACACACCUUUUCCUCGCUGCUGUGCAUUUACACUGGUUUUUCUCACUUUAAAUGGCAUAUGCUGAUCAUUCCCGUUUUCCCCUUCAAAAGAUGCCAGGAAUAAGCACUCAUGCAGAUUAUUUGCCGGACCUCCUAGCCAGAGAAGAAGAAAAAGAUUACUACAAAGUGUUCCUGAGCUUCUGUGGCAGAGGUACUCGGACUGGCCUGGCUGAUCUCCCCUACAGGAGCCUGGCCAAAACAGGAAUCCGCGUUUACAGAGACAAAGACGAGCUCUGCCGAGGCGAGGUGUUCGGCCCGAAGCUUCUAAGUGCGAUCACAAGGUCCAGGAUCUUGAUCCCGAUCAUCUCGGAAAAUUAUGGCUCGAAAGCAUGGUGACUCUGUGAGCUUGCACAGAUGAUGGAGUGCAGGAGAAACAAUGCACGGUAUACGGUGUUGCCUGUAUUUUAUGGGGUGAAGCCAUGCGACGUGCGACCCCAGGCAGGGAGAUUCGGCGAGGGGUUCCAAUCCGGUACGUGGCGUUUCGAUGACUAGAUUGUGGAUGAUUGGAGGCGGGCGCUUGAAGAAGUCGGUUUUGUAUACGGAUUUGAAGCUGAGAGAGGGUAACUCCUUUUUACUUAACAUAUAUAUUUUCCAUUAUCAUAUAGUUUGGGCAAUAUGAGAAAAGAAAGAUUUCUUUCAAGGUAAAUAUUGACUGCAUAGGUUGUGCAACUUAUUUGAGUAUUAGAACUCGUAGAGAAGAUGCGAGAGAGGGAUUAAUGACGGCUUCUUCUUUUUCCUUGGAGACAAAAUCCUUUGUGGCUGUACUAGAUAAAGUAAUUACAUAUAUAUCCUAUCGGAAUUUAUAUCUAACUGCCAAACCUAGUCUAAAGGAACAAAAAUUCUCUCUCCAACCUUUUGAUGCCUUUCUCAAAGAUCGGAGUCGAAUCGUGAUCUCAUAUUAAACAAAUAACUGUUUUUUUUAUUAGCUAUCUCUUUCCUUUUCUUUUCAAUUUUUUUUACGUUUACCUUUUUUCUACUCUAAAAGUUUUAAAUUCCAAACUUUUUUCACAUUUAAGUAAGGAUUAUAUACCACACGUUACUAGUGAACUUAUACUGAUGUUAGAAAUCUUUCAUAGUUACAUUGUUAGAGUGAAAUUUGUAUGGUCUUCAUAGAACAUAUACAAAUACUAGUAUAAUUGAUCAGGAUAUGAACGACACAACUAUAAAAGAAGUAUUUAGAUAUGAAUGUGACAACACCAAUCACGAGGUUGAUCGAGUCGCCAUCCAAUAUUAGAUUGAUGGGCUUGUCUAAUGGGCAGUUGAAUAUUCUAACAAAGGGUGAGAUGAGAGUUCCAACCCCCGUCCAAACCUUUUUUUUUAUUUGAAAGAAUAUGAAUGUGACAUCACAGCUCGAUUUCUUGCAUAAAUCAAUUUUUUUUAAAUUAAAAUUAAUUAUUAUUCAGUUAUUUUAGGAUUUCAAUUGUUGAUUAAUUAACUCCCAUGCCAUCAGCAGCACACACGAGGACUCUUAUUCUUUUUUCUUUUUUCUUUUUUUUUUUCUUUUUUUGGCUUCUAGCGAGUUAUUAUAACAGGAUUCUCUCAUUUAUGCACUAGACUGCUUUGUUCUUUGACAGGCGAAAAACAAGAUUGAUCAAUGAGAUACAUGAGACAAUUAAUGGCAAAUUAGUGGAAGCCAACCUUUUAACCAUUUCCCUGGAUAGGGAGGUGAAAGCAAGAUUGCUUGAUUUACAUCAACCUAGAUUACACGCACAACUAGUGGUUUGGAAAUGAUGACAUUUAGUGAUGAGUUUCACAACAUGGAUUACUGGCAUGACUCACUAAGGCAGACACAUUAUGGAAAAGGGGUCAGGAAUCAAAUAUACAUAACAUCACAUCAGUACGCAUAGCUCCUUGAAAUUAACUCUUCAUGACUCGUUAUCGAUGGAGUAACGAGUUCGUAAUGUAUCAACCUUUAAGCUUAUCAUGUUUUGGAUUAGUUUUCUAAUUUUUGGUCGAGUCCACAGUUCAUUGUUUAGUUGCGAUCUAUUUACUGUUUUGUUCCUGCUAAAUUUAUUUGAGGGUUCUAGUUCUGCGAUGGGAACCUAUAUCACAGAUAUAAUUUUGUAAUUUAUGUUUGAGAAUUAAUGAAAUGGAGCAUCAAAGACCUCUUGCUACAGCCUCAUCGAUCCAAGAAUGAAAUUGGGAGCACGUUCAUUGGUUCCACGGCGAGUCUUCAAGAACACUAACAGUCACAGUGGUAAUGAUUAUGAAUUUGCGUUAUACUUGAUAUGGACUUUACCAAAGUCUGCUCAUCCCUGCUAAUCUGAGUCUAUCACUUAUCCAAUAGAUUGGCCAAGCUCUAAUUGACAAGAUAGAAAAAAAUUCAUAGAACUUGAAGCCCAUCAAAAGGCUAUGUCGACAGUAAAGAUAACGAGGGUGUGGAUUUCGGUUGGCGAGGCCCUGUUUGUUUGUGUUUCUUGGCCGUGUUUAUGAACACAAUUUCUGUUUUUUUGUUCUCGGGAAUAAAAAAAGAACAAAAACGCAUUUGUUUGGGUUUUUGUUCAAAAUCUAUUUUUUGUUCCCAGGAACAAAUUUAGAACAGAAACAAGAAACAAAAAAAAAAAACUUAUUUUUUGUUUCUGGAACACUUCCGAGAAACAAUUUUUUUUCUCUCGUUUUUUUCUUCUCUUUCUUUUCUUCUUCUUUUUUCUUUGGCCAGCGGCCGGCCUCGGCCAUGGCUAGCGGCUGGCCGUCAAGGGUCAGCAACCUCGCCGGAGCGUCACCAACCCCUGGCGAGGCCGAUCUCGUGCCGGUCGGCGAGGCUCGGCCUCGCCUUGACUGGGCCAGCUUGAGCUCGCACAGAUUCGGCGAGGUUAAGCUCGCCCAGCCAUCGGCGAGGCUCGGCAUCGCUGGGCCACCUCCAGGUUGGCCUUGCUUGGUGGCCCGGUGAGCCUCACCGUGGCUGGGCGAGGCUGCCGACCCUCGUCGGCUGGUCACCGGCCAUGGCCGAGGCUGACGACCGGCCAAAAGGAAGGAAAAAGAAAAAAGAAAAAAAUUAAAAAUUAAAAAGGAAAAUUAAAAUUAAAAUAUUAAAAAUUUAAAAUAAACAAAAAAAUCAUACAAGUUUACCAAACGUGUCCCUGUCCUUUUUCUAUUCUAGGAACAAGUUUACCAAACACGUUCUUUUGUUCAAAAAUUGUUCAUCGGAACAAUUUUUUAAUAGAAACGUUAUCAAACGCACCCUUAAUGACAUAUUAUUAAAAUUAUCUCCAAUGAAAAUGAUGUCUAUUCUCAAAAUAUUGAACAAUCAUUAGAAUUUUAAAAGUCACAUUUUUAUCAUCUAUUCUAAUUGAAAUCGUCAAUUAUGGCAAGAAAAAAAGUCAUGAAUGCAUCUAACUUAUAAUGUUGCCCUAAAUAGAACUAAACUAGACUUUAUUAAAAAAAAAAAAAAGGAUAUGUGCAAUAAAAGUCCUAAAACUUGUCACAAAUGUGAAAUUAAAUUUUAAAACUUGCAAAAUGUGCAAUUAAGUCUUAAAACUAGUCAGAUUGGUGUAAUAGAGUCUUUCCGCUAACUUAUCAUAAUUUUAUUAAGGGAAAACGCUGACAUGGCUAAAACACGAAACAUAAGGCUAAAAUAACAAUAUUUUGGUCUAAAUAUGAUUUUUAGUACAAAUUUAAUUUAAAUUAAAUAAAAGCUACGCUAAAGUUUUUUAUGAAAAAGAAAGAAAAAGAAGAAGAAGAUGAAGAAGUAGGUGGUGAGGGCUAUCCUUGCCGCCGCCGCCGCCGCCCCACAAUUGCCGGCUCAUUAAACUUUGUUUACUUCAUCGCUAACGGGUACGUCACUACGUUUCCGUUAAACUUUGUUUACUUUCUUUCGACAAAAUCUUUUUUUUUUUUUUUGGUGAAGUUAAGAGAUUCUUUCGACAAAAUCUUAAUAUGGGUAAAAGAAAGACAUUAUAUCGUUACCAUAAUCAUCCUGAACUCCUGGGCGUAAAAAAACCCAGACAACCUAUGUUCAAAUAUUCGCUGUAUGUCCAUAUGUUUACCCUAGGAAAGUGCAUGUGAUUUCUCUUUGUGAUUAUAUUUCUUGUUUUUGCUGUCAGCUGUGCAUGCAUCACAGCAUUGAAAAGGAAAGCGCUGGGCAAGACAUCAAUUCAUCUCAAUGCUGAAAUUUGAAGAGUCUAUGAAAAGGAUGUAAAUAGCCAACAUGAAUUCGUUAGCAAAGAUAUACUUCUUUAAGCUAAAUAAGGCCCGCACGGAAUGAAUAGGAAAUCAAUGGCCAAUGUAGGAAAUAAGUAAGGAAUGCCUUGGGUUGAUUGGCUCCCUCAAGAGCAUUAUGUCACAAAUCGAAUUUUUCGUAUUUAUUUCCUUUGGCCAUCCAUAGGACUCACAAACUCGUGCACAGCUAUAAUUAUUUGAUGUGGUGGAGUUAGGUAGAUUGCCAUAUUUGGGGAUAAAUUGACCAAUUGAUGAUCACUAAAUUUAGAGUGUACACGCAAUCUAAUCGGUGAACUUUGAUUUAAAUCAUUAGACGCGCUGAACUUUCGGUCUUUUUCUUUUGCAAAUGAUGCACUUUUACCGGAAACUGGCCAAUUCUUGGUCCAAACACUGAUAUGGCGGAUGUGUGGUGCCGUCAUGGUGUCCAGCUUCGGCACCACGUAAGCACAAAGAAAAAUGCUUAAGGACGUGGGAGGAAAAAAAAAGCUAGAAGGGCCAUCCGUCCUCUACCGACAUUUCCCCGAAUUUGCUGACGGCGACAUGACCCUCUGUAAUUGCAAGCCGCUGUCCUUUAGGGUUUACAAAUUACCAUGUUUGGACUAGUUUCCUAUAUUCUUGUCGGGUCGUGUCGGGUCGAGCCCGUAUUCAUUGUUAAGUUUUGAGCUGUUUACUAUUUUGUGUCUGCUCUAGUUGCACUAAAAAGAUAAAUGUUUUGUUUUUGAAAUUUAAUAAAAUGAAGCAUCAAAGACCUCUUGCUACGGCCUCAUCGAUCCACGAGUGGAAUUGGGCACAUGUUGUUCAUUGGUUCCAUAGCGAGUCUUCAAGAAACUAAUAGUCACAGUUGUAAUGAUUAUCAAUCUGGCCAAUCCGGAUCCAUUGCUUAUCUAAUAGAUUGGCCAAGCUCUAUUUUAUUGAGCAGAUGAUAAAAAAUUCAUGGAAUUCAUCACUAGAUUUUACUUUUAGAAAGGUUAGACACACAAAACUCUAAGAAACUAUGUGGUAUAUUAGUACUGCGUUUGGUCCUCAGGAAGAUGGUCGAUUGGAAAACAUAAUCCAAACAUUUUAAAGAGAUGUUACAGAGCAUGAGUGAUAGACACGGGUAGAUACGGCCCGAUAGAAUUUUCAAUUUUUAUGCUAAAAAGGCAUCUAUUCUAAAUUAAAUCGUAAUUUGUGGCCAAAAAAUCGUCUCACACAUCAAAUUUAAAAUGUUUCCUUCAACAGAACUAAUCUAAUCUAAAUCUGAUCAAAAUAAACUACAUUGGCCCCAUUAAUGUAUCUAACUAAUAAAAAGAUUAACCAAAAUUAAAUAUUGUGGAAAUAUGACAAUUCAUAAUCAAAAGUAUGAAUCUCAAAAACUGCGACUUCUUAAUAUCGUGCAUACAUUGUCGAUGAUAGCUUUGUAGGACUUAUAUUUGCGCGCAAAAUUGAGUUUUAUCUCUAAAUUGCUGGUAGACCAAAGAUAAAGUUGAGUAACUAAAUAAUAAAUAUUUAAUGAAACUUGAUUGGGGGCUAAAUAGUACUGACACGUAAUAUGAUGCGACACGACACGAUACUUGUGUCGGUUCCCACACAACGAGGAUACAAGAUUGGAACUGAACAGUCUGAUUCUAAAAUGGACAAGGUUGGUUCCUGGCUCCACAUAUUGGGAACCGACCCCGUCCAGUCCAAUUUCCACUUUCAAGAUGGGGAUUGACCCACCCUAAAAUUCUUUAGCUGAUUGAAAAGUUCCUCCAUGUCACUAAAAUGGAAGAACAGCCAGAGAAAUUCAGCACAGCCGAAGUCGCUCACAGUGAAAAGUCAGAAUUGACCGAGAAAUGCUCUUCAUGGACGAAUAAUCCUCCCUUGUACCAACCAUAAAAAAAAAAAAAAAAAGGAAAGAAAUCCUCCCUCGCAAGUGCGAGCAUGAGCUCAAGUCCUCCGGCUUUUGGUCCCAGAUACAACUUUAUUUUAUAUCACUUGUAAGAUAUGCAGAAACCUUAUGAUGAUAAUAUGAAAGGAUUGUAAUAAAUAACCCUACUAAAUUGCAAUACAAGUGUAACCCUCAAAAUAAUCUCACAGCAAUUAAAAUAUAUUUUCUCUGGGCGCACUCAAAACACUUAAAAGCGAACUAGCUUUUAUAGUGACACACUCUCACUCACUGGAGAACUCUUUUUGGGCACUGGGCUCGCACAAAACGACAACAACUACAAAAUAUAUAUAUAGAUGCAUUAGCCGACUUGUAUCCUUUGCCGACAUUAUCAUGGAACUGAAUAUGGACAGAGUUUCUUCUUUCGCUAACAGCCUGCUCCUUGAAAGACUCUAGCCGUCUCCAAAGUUCAAGUCGGUAAUUUNNNNNNNNNNNNNNNNNNNNNNNNNNNNNNNNNNNNNNNNNNNNNNNNNNNNNNNNNNNNNNNNNNNNNNNNNNNNNNNNNNNNNNNNNNNNNNNNNNNNGGAUUACGCUUCCAGCAAAUGGUGUCUUCGCGAGCUCGCCCGGAUGAUCGAGUGCAAGAGAAGUGAAGGGCACAUCGUCUUGCCCAUCUUCUACAAAGUCGAGCCCGGGCAUGUGCGACACCAGACGGGGAGUUUCGGGAAGGCCUUUCAUAAAAUUAAGAAGCAUUAUGAGGCAGAGGUGGUCCAACGAUGGGAGCGAGCUCUCCAAGAAGUAGGAAGCUUAAAGGGAUGGGAAUCAGAGAGAACUGCUAACGGGUACUUCUUCUUUCACUCGUGAUCCUGCUUAGCUAGAUCGAAAGUCCGAAAAUUUUAUGCCGCGAUCACUUUUGCAGUGGAAAAAAAAUGAUGGGUUUUUAUCAAUUGGCUGCUUUUUGCUUCCUGUUUAUAUGUGGAUUUGCUUCCGCGGAGAUAUUGAUGAUCGGUUUCUUGUAUUGGACUUUGCUGUUAUUCUACAGACAUGAAGCUGAGUUGGUAAAGAUAAUUGUCAGGAAGGUUUUGGGCGAGUUAAAGGAAGCUUUUCAGUUAGACGUCACGGAGAACUUGGUCGGGAUUAGUAAUCAUGUAGAGGAGAUUAUGAGAAUGUUAAGAACUGAUGACACUGAUACUCGAUUUGUUGGAAUCCAUGGAAUAGGCGGUGUUGGUAAGACGACUCUGGCCAAGUUCAUCUACAAUAAACUCUCCAGUCAGUUCGAUCACUGUAGCUUCUUGGCAGAUGUGCGAGAAACAGCAAAAGACAGGGGUGCCCACCAUUUGCAGAACCAACUAAUCUCCAAUAUUCUAAAAAGAAAACACAAUGACAUCUCCAAUGUCGAUGAAGGACUUAGAAUCAUCAAAACUAGAUUUAGGCAUAAGAAAGUCCUCAUCCUUCUCGAUGAUGUGGAUGAUGUUUCUCAGUUGAACUGUUUGGCUGGAAAACGUGACUGGUUUGGUUCCGGAAGUAAGAUCAUUAUUACGGCAAGAAAAGUGAGUUUUCUUGAUGACGCUCGGGUGGAUAACUCGUAUGCACUCAAUGGAUUGGAUCCUGACAACUCUUUGCUUCUUUUUAGUAGACAUGCAUUCAGAAGGGACUUCCCUUUGCCUGAAUUUGGGGAUCUCUAGCGUGAAAUUGUGUCCACUACAGGAGGGCUUCCUUUAGCACUCGAGGUUAUAGGAUCGUUCUUGUGCGGAAAACGCCUAGUAGUAUGGAAAGAUACAUUAAAGAAGUUACGGCAAAUACCAGAUAAGGAAGUGCAAGAGAAGUUAAGGGUAAGUUAUGAAGCAUUAGAUUAUGAGCAAAAACAGAUAUUUUUGGAUAUUGCCUGUUUUUUCGCUGGAACUGAUGGAAGAAUUGCGUCCUAUAUGUGGGAUGAUUGUGAAUUUUUCCCAGGGAUGGGUAUUGAAGCAUUGAGCAUGAUGUCCUUGAUAAAAGUGGGAAAUGACCAUAGGUUGUUAAUGCAUGACCAACUGAGAGAUCUAGGUAGGGAAAUCGUCCGGCAGGAAAACUAUGAGGAGCCCUGGAAACGUAGUUGCGUAUGGAUUCACAAGGAAGCCUUACAUGUUCUAGAGAAAAACAAGGUGAGAGUUUUCUUUGAUUUACUUUUGUGCACUUAGUCAAUGUUUAUUAUCUACCAUAAAGAGGAAAAAGAAGUUAGUAAAUUGAAUUAGUCCAGCCCUAGUUAAAAGAAGGCCCGUUCGUAAUAUUUUCAACAUUGUGUUACUCAUUGCAUAAUGCAAGUUUGUAAUUCAUGGGAGUAAUAUCCUUAGAGGGUGCUCUUCUGUGAUAAUCAAAGGUUCUCAGCUAACUUAUGGAGUUUAACUCAUUUUAAAGGACAUGUUAGCAAACUUAAUUGUAGCAGUGUUGAGCAUUUUAUAUAUUAGCUUCUGGUGGAUUGCAUAAGAUAAAUUUGUUGAAAGAUACUAUCAAUGAGUUUAGCUGCAACCAUGUGAGCAUAGGAAUUAUUAUGAAACAACAUAUCAUAGUUUUGUUUUCAUGAUGCUUUAUUUCUGAUCCAUGGAAUUCUUACUUUCAGGGAACUAGAAAGAUAAAAGCCCUCCGUCUUAAUAAAAGUGGCUUAGGCAGGGUGUACAGCAAUGUACUGUUUGAAAAGCUACCGAACUUAAAGGUUCCUUGAGAUGAAUAAUUUCAUCCUUUCUGGAGAUUUUAAGUAUGUUCUUUCUGAACUACGAUGGCUUUAUUGGAAAAAUUGUCCAUCAAAUUUGGUAGCAACCAAUUUUCACGUGAAGAAAUUAGUCAUACUUGACUUAUCAAGGAGCAAAGUCACAGAGCAUUGGGAAGGAUGGAAACUUAUGGAUGUAAGAUGAAAAGAGUAGAUUUUCCUUUCAAAAUAUGAUCAAUAAUUCUUAGUGGCUCAUGUUUCCCUACUUUCUUUCUUACAGGUGGCAAGUAAUCUGAAAGUUCUCAACAGUGCUAAUUGCCGUGACUUGAAAACAUCUCCUGAUCUCAUAGCUUCUCAAAAUCUGGAGAUUUUAAUUCUUGGAAAAUGUGAAAAUCUAACAAAAUUGCACCCUUCUAUUGGAAGCAUCAGCACCCUGAUUUCCUUGGAUGUGAGAGACUGUUUCAGACUGAAGGAACUUCCAAUAGAAGUGGGUCUGCUACAAGAAUUAGAGGAGCUUUUCAUGGAUAGAACUCGGAUGGAAGAAAUUCCCGUAUCUAAUGGUUCAAUGAAGAAGCUCAGGACUCUUAGUGCCCAGUAUUGUGAAUCAUUGGCUCGAAUACCCAGCUCGUUAAGCCAUCUAGCAUCUCUGUCAACCCUUGAUUUUACGGGAUGCAGAAAGCUUGCUGAACUUCCAGAUGCCCUAGGGUGCCUUCAGAAACUGCAGCGCUUAUCAUUAAAAGAAUGUAGCUCUUUGAGAGGGAUCCCCAACUCAAUUGGCAAGUUGGAAUGUUUAACUGAGCUGGACAUAUCGUACACAGGAUUUACAGAGUUACCUGAAUCCAUUGGAGACUUGAGUAACUUAGAAGUUCUGCAAAUGGUGCGGUCACAUGUAACAAGGUUACCUAGUGUUAUUGGGAUAUUGGGGAAACUCACCACAUUAGAUGCCACAAAUUGCAACAUCCUGGCAGAAGUUUGUAGUAAUAUUGGUGAAUUGUCUUCAUUGAAGGCCCUCCGAUUGUUGGGGACAGAAAUUUGUGGCUUGCCAGAAAGCAUUUGUAAGCUUUCUUGUCUCCAAGACCUCAACUUACAAGGGUGCAAGAAGCUCCAAUUGCUGCCAAACCUACCCUCUGGCCUGAGAGAACUCUAGGUCUCACUUGUCAGAGUCCUACAUUGCCAAUCCUUUCCAACCUGACAAAUCUAAAGGAACUCUCUGUCCUAGAAUGCUCUACACUUGAAUGCCUCCCAGAGCUUCCCUCCAAACUGUCAAAGCUUUCCUUUAUAGGAUGCCAAAUGUUGAGAAAGUUGCCAGAUUUGUCAACCUUGAAGCAUCUUUCAGAAUUGAGUCUGACAGUUUGCUCUGAACUGAGAGAAGUCAAAGGUCUGGAAGGAUUAGUAUCACUCACAAUGUUGGAUGUGUUGAAGUGCCCAAAGUUAUCUAGGCUUGGUAAGGUAGAAUGUUUGAUGUCUCUGAGGUGCUUAAAGAUGGGACCUUCGGAAGCAUUAGAGAGGUCGAUGGUUCGUUCAGAACUGAGUAAUUUAAAGGUGCUUCCAAGUUGUGAGAAUCAAGUUGGAUUUCAAGUUCUUAAUAGCUUCAUUUGCUUGGAAGUUUUGGAUCUCACUAAAUGCAUGUCUAUGGAAAGAUUGGACCUUUCAACUUUGAAGCUUUUAAGGAAAGCAAGUGUUAGGAAAUGCAAGAAUCUAGUCGAAAUUAGAGGCCUUGACAGCUUGGUAUACUUGGAGAGGUUGGAUAUCUCUGAGUGCACAUCCAUUAAGAGACUGGAUAUUGCAAAAUUGAAGUUUCUGAGAUAUUUUUGGGCUUCCAAAUGCAAGAAUUUAUCUAAAGUCCAAGGCCUUGAUGUCUUGGAGUGCUUGGAAUGGGUGGACAUCUCUGGGUGCACAUCGAUUGAAAUAUUACCAGACUUUUCAUGCUACAACACCCUGAAGUUUCUGAACAUCAACCACUGCGAGAAACUACGUGAUAUUCUGGCCCUGGAGAAAUUCUCAUCCUGCCAAUGGCUCUGCAUUGAUGGAUGCAAGUCCCUAGAGAAACUGCCAAACCUUUCAAAAUUUGAAGGUUUGAUAGAGUUGAUAGUGAAAGAUUGUCAUGAACUUAUGGAUAUGUCACAGCUUAAAGAGUUGAGAUCAUUAGAAUUUAUAGAUAUGUCAAGAUGCAAGUCCAUUGAGCAUCUGCCAGAUAUGUCGAUGUGCAAGAACUUGAAAUGUUUGGUUGUAAGAGACUGCGAGAAACUUAUUGAGCUUAUGGGGCUUGGAGACUUGGACACGCUGUGGCAAGUGGAUAUUUCUGGAUGCAAGUCACUGAAACAAAUACCAGAAUUACCUGGAGCACACAUCAUGCAGAAUUAUGGCGAACCUAUGUUUCAUCCCUUGUAUGGGACUAUCACUUUCAGCUGAUAUGCUGCACAUAGUUCUACUGCCAUGUCAAAGUUGAGAGAUUAAAAAGAAGGUGAUCACCCAUGCCCUGUUCACACCUAUUUCCUGUGUUUUAAUCGUGUUAUCUGUAUCAAGAAGUAAAUUUUCCUUCAUGGCCUUUUCUAUUAUCAUUUCUUUCCACUAUAUAGUUCAAGCAAUGGAAAGAAGUUGAUGCUCUGGCAAUUGUUUAUUUCUAGAGUGGAACUUCUUCACCCAGUUGGAAACCUUCUCUAAGUAUUUUUGAUAUCAUCGUGGGUUGACAACUCGAGUUCUUAAUCUUCAACACGAGAUUGAUUAGUGAUGUGCACGUACAGACUUCGGAGGUUAUUUUGCUUGGAUACCUGAUAUGUCCUGUUUGUUUCACUAACACAGGGAACAGGUGACUAAAGUAGAACAUCUUCUGAUGAAUUUUUAUGUUAGAUUUGUAGAUGUAUAUUUGCUGUUACUUGCCUUAUCUUUAUGAAAAUUACCUUAUCACGACAUUCCAUUUCUUGAAUUGUUAGCAGGAUUCAUGCAGUUUAUAGAGGCUCUAUCUAUAAUUUGUUUGGGAUUGACUACAUAUUGCAGCUUUCUGUGGAAGGAGUUAGACAUUGUUAAAUUUUGGAACGCUUCUCCAGCUUGGACCUUGGAAAUUCCUCCGAGUUUAUAGGAGAGAUGAAUCUCAAAGAAUUAAUAUUCCUGGCUAUAUUGGAGUGCAACAAGCAAAGCUUCAUUUGAUUUUCACCGAGGAACCAGCGUUUUCUCCUAAAUAUGAUUGAGGAGCUUUCCUCCGUUUCCUUUCAUAAUAAUAUUAUGCCUGAGAACGUUCCUCAAUUUCAUUAUUGGACCAUUAUGCAAUCAGUUUUGAAUGAAGAACUAGAGUUCUUUUUCAUUAUGCAGUAACAGUGACAAUACUUGCAGGAACACCCACGCCUGGUGAACCUAUUCUUCAUUUUAUCUCGAUACUUCCUGCACAUUCCACGUAAAUGAGCAAGGGUUAAUGACUAUUCUAAAUUGAGUUAAUAACUAGGGCAGCUGCUUGAUCACUACUUAUGCUCGUGGUUUUAGUUUGCUUCCUUUGGGGCUUCUUUCAUGGGAGUGAUGCUUUUCCAAAAUGUGUUGGCCAGCCUCUCCGUUUGUAAGCUGAGAAUUGUAGGAUCUGUGGUCGUGGGAAGAAGGAAAUGAAUCGUGAUUGUAUCAACCCAGAGAGUGAAAACUGCAUUGUAUCUAGUCCGUGUAUUCGCUUGUCAAACAAUGCAGUCUUUGGUAGUUAGCCUGUGUAAGUUCACGAUGUAAGAGAGCGAGAUUUAUUUACCUACUCGUGUAUCACAGUCGCCAUGAAUUGACCAGGAAGACACCAAGCGGCAAAACUAUGCACUGAUUUGCCUUUUUCUCUCUUUCUUUUUAGUUCAAGGAACCAGGAGACUCCAAGAACAUAUGGAAAGCUAGCUGCCUUGUCGAAGGGCAUUUUCCAACAUAGCCACUGGUAUUGUGCACCAGCUACAGGAAACCAUAUAUGGCAAGAAAAUAUCUUUCUAAGACACUAGAUGCUAUCAACUCGCGAUUCUCCAAUUGCUGACUUGCAAUUGGCAAAAGUGGCUCCAACCAUUCUGGAUUGAGAAAGAAGCAAUAAGAGUGGAACUGAAUAUUUCGCAUCCUCUGAUACGCGAAGAAGCGUGAGAAGUUCACUACAUAUCUGCAGAAAUUUUUGAGAGAUAUCAUUUCUGUCUGAAUGGACCAUUCCAAAUCUUGUAUUGACGUGAGGGGAAGACAAACAACUCAGGUAUGUUAUAAACUGCUUCUGAGGCUAUAAAUUACUGUUAACUCUAAUUGCCACCUGCAUAAGAAGACCGGUUUAUGAAAGAUCUCAUGUUCCCAUAUGUCCAAACUUGUUCAGAAAGAUGUGCACUUUACCCUGUAAAGCAUAUGCUCCACUUUUAGUUCAUUUAUUAGAGAUCUUCUAUCUGUUCUGGCUUAUAAUUUUCUCAACAAGAAGAGAGAGUGUAAGCAAUGGUGCUGAUGCCAGCAAUUCAGGCGCCGUGGGAGCAUCCACUUGUCCAUUCAUCUCUCCAAGUGGUGUGGGAAAUGACUGCAACAAAGUGUUCUUGAGCUUUAGAGGCACAGAUGCUCACACAGGAUUCACAAAUCAACUCUACCAUUCGCAAACUUGUCGAUGUAGGCACUGUGCCAGCUCAUGUUCAGAGAUGAUAAAGACCUCCAAGUCGGCAAGGAGUCUGGGUCAGAGCUUCUCAGCGCAAUCGUGCAGUCUAAGAUCACGGAACCAAUUAUCUCUCCCAAUUAUACUUUCAAUAAAUGGUGUCUUUGCAAGCUCAUUCAAAUGAUGGAGUAGAGAAACAGAGGAAAGUCUUGCUGAUGUUUUACAGAGUCGAUCCCUCACAUGUGCGGUACCUGAAAGGGAGUUUUCGCAAGGCCUUCCGCUCACCCAAAAAGCAUUUUGAUGCGAAGGCUGUCAAGCCAGGGCAGCGAACUCUCCGGGCAGUGAGUUUCUUAUACAGAUGGGAAUAAGAAAAAAUCGCUAAUGGGUACCUUCGUUUCCGUUGAACCUUGCUUACUUUCUUUCAACAAGAUCUUACUGGGGGUAAAAGAAAGACAUUAUUUCGUUACCAUAAUCAUCCUGAACUCUUACCCGCAAAACCAG
rnacentral:lncRNA from 1 species